UACGGAGGAUGCGAGCGUUGUCCGGAAUCACUGGGCGUAAAGGGCGCGUAGGUGGCGACUCAAGUCAACGGUGAAAGCUCGACGCUCAACGUCGAGUCGGCCGUCGAAACUGGGACGCUUGAGCACUGUAGAGGCAGAUGGAAUUCCGGGUGUAGCGGUGGAAUGCGUAGAGAUCCGGAAGAACACCGGUGGCGAAGGCGGU
rnacentral:rRNA from 1 species